rnacentral:rRNA from 1 species
AACGAACGCUGGCGGCAGGCCUAACACAUGCAAGUCGAACGCUCCGCAAGGGGAGUGGCGCACGGGUGAGUAACACGUGGGAACCUACCUUCUGGUACGGAACAACCAAGGGAAACUUUGGCUAAGACCGUAUACGACCUCCGGGUGAAAGAUUGAUCGCCGGAAGAGGGGCCCGCGUCCGAUUAGGUAGUUGGUGAGGUAACGGCUCACCAAGCCUUCGAUCGGUAGCUGGUCUGAGAGGAUGACCAGCCACACUGGGACUGAGACACGGCCCACGACUCCUACGGGAGGCAGCAGUGGGGAAUAUUGGACAAUGGGCGCAAGCCUGAUCCAGCCAUGCCGCGUGAGUGAUGAAGGCC